rnacentral:lncRNA from 1 species
GCAGCACCAGUCCCCCAAGCUGUCCCUGGAGGUGGAAGAGCCCCUGCAGCUGAGCCUGUUUGUUCUUCGUUUUUCCACAGGCGCCUUGGCUGGAGGGUGGGGGUGAGCGCGCGGCCCCCAACACCUGCCGGGAAAGCAGCAGCCGCAGACCCCCAGGGCGCCCCAGGCCAGGAGCUGCGCGCCAUCGGCGGGUGGUGCCUGGGGGAGUCUCGCGCCUUCCAAUCGCCAGAGUGCCGGCAUCCUUCCUCUCCCCAACCCCAGCCCCGGCCUCGACCUGUCGCCCACCUGGCCCGGACCUGGGGCUGGCUCCUUCUCUGGGGUGUGCGCCGAGGGAGCCCCACCGACGCCCAGCAGAGCUGCCCGGGCUUCCAAGGAAGGACCCGGGCGCUGGGCCGAAGGCAGCCGGGCGGGCGUGAGGGGCGCCGGAGAAGUGGCUCGCCCGCAGGCGGGGGGCGGAGCCCCGGGGCAGCCCACCUCGCAGACGCCGGCCCAGGGCUCCGACGUGCGGGCGCAACCUCGAAGAGUGCAGGCCCGGGGCUCCCGCGGCGCCCCUUCCCCUCCCCAGUCCCCUACGGGCGUCCCCGCUCCCCGCCGACGUCCGGCCCCGCCGCGCCCUCACCCUUCCCGCCGCGAGGGCCCCGCCGCACGCUCCUGCCCCCGCGCCCCGGGGCGACGGCUCACUCACCCUCCGCAUGGUGUCGGGGCCGUCCGGGCUGGACUCGGCGACUUGAGCACGAGAAGGGCUGGGCGGGAGGCGACGCUCGGCCGACCGGGAGCUCCGCGCUGCCCCCGCCUGCACACGCCUGCGCCGCGGCCUCAGAGUCGACGGGGGCGGGGCGGGGGCGCGCUGGCCGCGGGGUCCCCUGGGCUCUACCCGGGCUGCGGCGGCGGCGCGGAGCCGGCCAGGGCGCGCUGAGCUCGCGGAGCCCCUGGGCCCCGGGGCCCUUCUGCCCCAGUCGCGUCGUCCCCGCCUCCUCGGGCCGCUUCGCCCCUCUACUCUUCCUCAAGUUCCCGCCCCACCGAGAGCGGAGCGGGUCUCCGAUGCCUGUCCCGCAACCCCCAGAACUCAACUGGAGAACCUUAGGGGUGAACGGUGGGCCCACCCUGCGGGGACCCCAAGUUUGCGGAGCAAGAGGGGAUUGGCGGUGA